rnacentral:lncRNA from 1 species
AGGAGAGAGGGGUGGAUGGCGCGUGGCUGCCGGGCACCCGGUCCAGGCUCCACCUAGACGUGCUCUACCUUCAUCCCCCUGCCUCUGAAAGGCCGCGUGGACAGGAGGCCCCCCGAGGAAGGGCAAAGGUAGAAUGGAGUUUAAUUUCCAUUUUAAAUUCACGUGGAAAAUUUCUCUCUGAUCAUCUGCAACUGAGGAUCUGAAAUUGUUAUCUGCAAAGACACCUACUCCCCAUGCCAUAGGUAAGCAAUGCUCCUAAUUUUUUUAUGUAUCCUUCCAGAAUUUCUUUAUGCAUAUAUAUGUUAAUUUGGCUAGAGAUUCUUCUUCUUUUUAAAAAAUUUUUUAUUAGAGGAUAGUUGAUUUACAAUGUGCUAAUUUUGGAUAGAGAUUCUUAAUACAGCUUUUUUGGAGCUCUAUCUCUAGGAAGGAAAUUAGUCGAAACCCAAUGACAUAGGGCUCUGAAGAUUUCCCCUAAUCAAGCGUAUGUAUGGGGGGCGAGUGGGCAUGAGGUACACCUCUCUGAAGGGGGAGAGCUUUGAAACAUGAAUAUGUAAAACAGUAAUUGAUAAAGCUCAUUACGAAGUGGCCAAGGAAUGCACUAAAGAGGAAAGUUGCCCCAAAUCUCUCUACCCCCAAAUAAUAAUAAUUCAUAUCAAUUGAAUAUCACAUCUGGGCCAGUGAGGUCCAGGAGAACUUUAUGUGAUAGUGGAAAUAUUUUCUCUGCUGUUUACCAUAACCACUUAUGCCUGUGGAGUGCUUGAAAUGUGGCUAGUGCAACUGAGGAUCUGAAAUUGUUUAUUUUACUUAAUUUUAACUUAAAUAUACCCAGCCACGUGUGUCUAGUGCCUGUUGUACUGGGUAGCGCAGCUCUAGACCCUUUGCAGUGCGUAUGUGUUAGUGGAAGAAUGUAAAGAGGCCGGCGAGGCCGACUAUUUUAGCACUGCCUGCCAGAAGCCUCAGAAGUGUGAUUACUAAUUAGCCUAGGAAUCCUGCUUGUGGGAAUUAUCUUAAAGUAAUGGUUAUGAAUUUGCUCAAACCUAGCUCUGAGAGUAUUUAUUAACAUGAAAAACCAGAACAUUGUAGAAAAAUGUUUAUUGAUGUGGGAAUGUGUUCACAACUGUCUGUUAAGUGAAAGGCAGGUUGUAAGGCAGGAUGAUUUCAUUAAAAUAUAAAGAGCCUAGAAAGAUAUACUGCAAACUGCUCAGUAAAUGGCAGGUACUCAGUAAAUAUGUGUUGAUGAAUGAGUAAAGGUUAAUAAGAGCACUGAGUGGUGAGAUGAUGCGUGAGUUUAUAUUUUUCUUCUGCUCCCUUAUUUAUAUUUUCUAACUACCCAUGGUAAAUACAUAUAUAUACCUUUGUAAGAAGAAAAACAUGUAUUGAGAAGUAUAGUUGCUGGGUCGUAAUAUUUCAGAGCUGGAAGGAACUUUGGAGACAAAGGCACACAUGGCCAGUUAAUGGCAGAAACCCAGAUUUCUCAACUAUACACAAACAUCUUCCGAGCCAAGGAGAAAAGAUUGCUGGAUGGUCUCCUGUCCUGGACUGUCCCUGGCCAGGACAGAGGCUCUCAGCAUGGCAAUUCAGGAGUGGAUUUAGAGAAGAAGGAACAAAGGGUAUCAUGCUUCUCAACAAGAUACAAAACAGGAUGAAAAAUCUCACUAAUAAACUCUGGGCAUCAUGAUGAGGCUUUAGCUGGGCCUGCUUCCCCCCAAAGCCCCCUCACUGGCGAAUUCUUCCAAACAUUUUAAGAGGAAUUAAUCUGAUCUUUCUCAAAUUCUUGCAAAAAUUAGAAGAGGAGGGAACAUUUCCAAACUCAUUUUACGGCAUUAGUCUUACUCUGAUACCAAAACCAGACAAAAACACCACCAGAAGAGAACAUUAUAGGCCAGUAUCCCUGAUGAACAUACAUACAAAAAUCCUCAACAAAAUACUCACAAACUGAGUUCAACAAUAAAAGGAUCAUACGCCAUGAUCAAGUGGACUUUUUUCCAGGGAUGCAAGGAUGGUUCAACAUAUGCAGAUCUAUCACUGUGAUACAGCACAUUAACAAAACAAAGGAUAAAAGCCAUAUGAUCAUCUCAGUAGAUGCAGAAAAAAACAUUUGACAAGAUUCAACAUCCAUUUAUGCUGAAAACUCUCAACAAAGUGGCUAUAGAGGGAAUGCAUCUCAACAUAAAGCCGUAUGUGACAAGCCCACAACUAACAUCAUACUCAUUGGUAAAAAACUGGACGUUUUCUUUCUAACAUCAGGAGCAAGACAAGCAUGCCCACUCUUGCAGCUUUUAUUCAGCAUAGUAUUGGAAGUUGUAGCAAGAACAAUUAGGAAGCUAUAUUAUCUUCAUAAUUUUUCUGAUUAUCUAAAACGAUUCUACAAAAUAAGGGUCUAUUAAAACAUUAAUAAUCUAGGCCCUUCUCUCAAGGAAUGAAGUAGCUGGAGGCCUGAAUUCCAAGUUGGUUUCCUGGGUUCAAACUUUGGUUCCACCAGGACCUGGCAGCGGGCCCUAGAGAGGGCCCUUUUGGUGGCCAGUUUCUUCUUCCAUCAAGUGGGGUAAUACGCAGACCUACCUCACGGGGGCGCUGUGAGAACCAAAUGAGAUACUUGGUACAAAAUGUCAGUAACACCCCGUUUCCAUUUAGAAAUCAAGGCAGAUAAUAAAGGGGUUGAGAGCAUGCAUUUACGACCAGACAGUCUGGAUUCAAAUCCUGGUUCCUCCAGGGCCUGCUCAUAAAAUUGUGGGCUGGUCAUUUGUUCUAAGCCUGUUUCCUUAGCUAUCAAAUGGGAUGAAUAGCACCCACCCACAAGGGGGGUUGGGAGGAUUGAUUGGGCCCCUGCGUGCAAAGCACCAGCACAGUGUGUGUGCAACAUAAGCAUUUGACCCGUCGGAGCUCAGCGAGGAAAGUAGUUGUGCAGCAAGAAUCCAAGAGGGGAGGAAAUAAAUAUGAAGGCUUCCCCCAGGAGGCGGUAGAAAGGGGCCCACUCUGGCUUCUGCACUGGGGCAGCUGAUUGGCCCACUUGACGGUCCUCCCAGGUCCUGUGUGACCUCUUCUUCCACCCCGUGAGGUCCUCUCAGGUCCCCAGCAUUGGAACAAAGCCUCGGUCUGCUGUUCUGCUCCUGUUCUCUUUCUGAACUCUGAUUCGGCCCUUAUCUCAGCCAGCUUUGCCCUGCUUGGCUGCCUGUCACAUUCAAUUCCAUUCCAGGGCUUUCAUCCUGCCCUCGGCCGAGUGUCCCUGAGUCUGAGGCUCUGGGACGUAGGGCCUGGUCUCUGCUGUCCUUGGCUUACACAAGCCUGAGCACUGUGUCUGGAACACAGCAACUUCUCGGUUCAUGGAGGCAGAACAGAAUAAAAUAAUUGCAAAGCCAAUUUCCAGGCCUUGAUGUAGCUGGGUUUCAAGGCACUGAGACACAAGGGUACGCUUCCCCCAUCAAAACAUAUCUUCCUUCUCUGGAUUCCCUCUAGUCCCAGAUUCUACGAGUAGAACUUCUUUGCUUUGGCUUAGGCUAAAUUAGGACCUCGCGCCUGAUAAAAAUGCAACAUUUUCUCUAUCAUUGUCUUAGCAGGGAACAGACAGUACAUUCAAAAGGGUUUAAGUGAAAAAUAAAAUCAGGCAAUUGGUGACAGGACUAUUUGCGGUGAAAUGGGCAGGAUGGAGGAACCAUCAGGGUUGGCGAGGGGCUCUGGGACUUGUGGCGGUGGACAGUUGUUAGUGUCUUAGGGUGGAAGGGCCAAAGGGAGCCCCAUGAGCGCUGAGCUGUGGAGGAGCCACCUCAAGGGGCACGAGGCUGCAGAGAUGCAGCUGCUGCCCAGUGGUGUGAAGCUGCAGUGGGGAUGGGACAUCUCCAUGCUCUUCUCCCCUUGCCCUCAGAUCGCCUGGCAGUGACCUCACUGGCCAAACCCAACCAGAAGCCAGAGGGUGAGGGGGCCUGGGUAACACGGUCCCCAGCGGUCAGCCUCUCUGGAACUGAGAAAGAGAGAAGAGGAGUCUGGGUUGGGAGUGAGGGAGGAAAAGGAGAGAAAGCCUUGCGAGGUGACAUAUGCUAGUUUUAUCAGUCGUGUACAAUUCAGUGUAAAUAAAGGCAUCAGAUCCUUCAGGAAGCACAGAGAAAGGAGACUAGGGACCAGGGUCCCGAAGUGUUAGAAAGAAAAGAGCAUCACUGAUGGGGAACUGAUUUCCCUAACCCCGACCC